AGUGGGCCCCGCCUUUUUCUCGCACCGGCUGCGUGCACUUCGGACAGAUCGACGAAGCGUCGGGGGCAGGACGCGACCGUGAAGUGGACAUUGAAGAAUACGGAGCACGUCGUGGAGAGGAAAAACAUUGAGAGAGAGGAUGAGACGCCCGGAGAAGACAGCAGCGCUCUGUUCGGGCUCUCUCUCUCUCAACACACACACACACACCGGCUGUUUUCUCUCCGCGAAGGAACGGCAGAGCCGAGAGCGCCGCCGUUGCCUUCAUUCUGGCGAAGCACAGCGGGGAGUCCUGCGCCUUGGAGCCUCCGCUUCACUUAAGCGCCGCACGCACGCACGCACGCGCUCUCUGCACGACCUCCGGCGUCGCCGUGGAGCGUCUGGCUGCUGCGGCGGCGUUAUCUGCAGUCGCAGGCGCUGUGCGGGCCAACGGCGACAGAUGCGGGGCAUGUAUUUUCAAGGCCUCCCGUGCCGGAACGUCUCCUGCGACCAGUUUCGCGUUGCACGUCUUUCGCCCGGCGAAGUGAGAACACUCCAAGAAAAUUGCCCAAGCAGCGUCCUUUUUUUUUUUUUUUAGCCCAGUCAAGUCCCCGAGGAGAAGUGGAGUUCUGCCAUCAAGAGUUCCGAGCUUCUUCCACAACUCCGGGCUGUCCAGAGAGCCCACGAUGCGGCGAUGAGGCUGGGCCUCCCCGUCCCGACGUGGGAGUGGCCCGCGGUGCUGCUCCAUGGGCGGCGCUUCUCAGAACCUCGAUAAAGUUCUUUUUCUGUC